GAUGAACGCUGGCGGCGUGCCUAAUACAUGCAAGUCGAGCGAACAGACGAGGAGCUUGCUCCUCUGACGUUAGCGGCGGACGGGUGAGUAACACGUGGAUAACCUACCCAUAAGACUGGGAUAACUUCGGGAAACCGGAGCUAAUACCGGAUAAUAUAUUGAACCGCAUGGUUCAAUAGUGAAAGACGGUUUUGCUGUCACUUAUAGAUGGAUCCGCGCCGCAUUAGCUAGUUGGUAAGGUAACGGCUUACCAAGGCAACGAUGCGUAGCCGACCUGAGAGGGUGAUCGGCCACACUGGAACUGAGACACGGUCCAGACUCCUACGGGAGGCAGCAGUAGGGAAUCUUCCGCAAUGGGCGAAAGCCUGACGGAGCAACGCCGCGUGAGUGAUGAAGGUCUUCGGAUCGUAAAACUCUGUUAUUAGGGAAGAACAAAUGUGUAAGUAACUAUGCACGUCUUGACGGUACCUAAUCAGAAAGCCACGGCUAGCUACGUG
rnacentral:rRNA from 1 species